rnacentral:rRNA from 1 species
GACGAACGCUGGCGGCGUGCUUAACACAUGCAAGUCGAACGCUGAAGCUUGGUGCUUGCACUGGGUGGAUGAGUGGCGAACGGGUGAGUAAUACGUGAGUAACCUGCCCUUGACUCUGGGAUAAGCCUGGGAAACUGGGUCUAAUACUGGAUAUGACAUGCCACUGCAUGGUGGUGUGUGGAAAGGGUUUUACUGGUUUUGGAUGGGCUCACGGCCUAUCAGCUUGUUGGUGGGGUAAUGGCCUACCAAGGCGACGACGGGUAGCCGGCCUGAGACGGUGACCGGCCACACUGGGACUGAGACACGGCCCAGACUCCUACGGGAGGCAGCAGUGGGGAAUAUUGCACAAUGGGCGGAAGCCUGAUGCAGCGACGCCGCGUGAGGGAUGACGGCCUUCGGGUUGUAAACCUCUUUCAGCACGGAAGAAGCGAGAGUGACGGUACGUGCAGAAGAAGCGCCGGCUAACUACGU